AUGUGUGCUGUUGUAAUGGAUGGUGGGCUUUUUUCUGGUGGUUUGGGUGCAGGAUUUGCUCUUGUGUUUCAAGUUGAAUACUGGGGAGAUGGAGGAGAUGUGCCACGGCAGGCUACUGUGGUGGUGAGAUUCAGGUCUAAGUCGGGCCUGUCUGAAGAGCAAGAAUAUAAAGCUUUUGAGCUUAGGCACAUGAAUCAAGCCCCCAGAAUCCGAUGGUCUACUGAGCCAGUUUUAUGCUUGGCGAGGAAGGGUGGAACAGUGAACCUUGCCACACAAUGGCAGCCCCUUCGCCUGAUGACCUUUUCCAAUCACGAUGACCUCCCGUCGCUGCUGAAGGAAUUGGAAACAGUACUGGAGGAAUUGUGA
rnacentral:rRNA from 1 species